AUGGCCCACAUCGUCUUCCUCCGCGCGGCAGCUGCCGACCUCACCGCCGGCAAGCCGUCGCUCGCGGGUGUGCCAUCCUCCGCGCCGCUCUCCGCGGCCGCCGCGGCCAUCCCGUCGUCGCCGGAGGCUGCCGUGGCCGUCUGGCGCGACGGCGCCUCCCCGUUGGCGCCCCUCGCCGCCACCGUCGUCGGGCUGCUCAGCUCGCUCGACGUCGUCGCCUUCGUGGCCUCCCAUGCGAGAGGAGGGGGCACCGCGGCGGACGCGAUGAGGACCCCGGUCGGUGACGUGGUGCCGCGGGAGCCGGCGCUGGUCCGCGAGGUCGAGCCCGACGCCAGGUUGAUAGAGAUAAUGGAGCUGAUGAAGCAGGGCGCAAAGCGAGUCCUCGUCCGCAAGAACUUCACGGAAGGAUGCCCCAUCAACAAGCAGCCCUUCGCGCCGUUCUACAAGGCCGCGCCCAAGAUCACCGGCACGCCGCGCGCCUCCGCGACCCAGACGGUCAGCCGGUCAUGGUCGUCGACGUUUGGCUGCGACAAGUACUGCUGCCUCACACGGGAGGACAUCGUCCGCUUCCUCAUCAACUGCCUGGGCGCCCUCGCGCCGAUCCCGCUGCAGUCGAUCUCCUCCCUCGGAGCCAUCAGCCGCGGCUACUGCCACGUCGACGCCUCCUCGCCGGCCAUGGAGGUCGUCUGGAAGAUACCCUCCGACCCGCGCGCGGUGGCCGUCGUGCGGACGAACCGCGACGGGUCGCAUGUGAUUCUCGGGGAGAUAUCCGCUCACAAGCUGUGGAAGCGCGACCAUGUGGCCGCUGCGGACGCGAUGGCGAGGCUGUCGGCGCUGCACUUCGCCACCGGCAUUGACGAGAAUGGGGCGGCGCCGGCUGCUGCUAAUGGCGUCGGUGCCGGCGCACGACGGGGUGAGGUGGAGAAUGAUAUCGUGCCUUCUCCAAGGUCUAUGAGAUUCAGCAGCAGGAGAAUCGGGUUCUCGGCGUGCCUUGCCAGCCAAAUGGUCCCGAGUCACCGGGAGAACACGGUGCUCACCUGCAAGACCACGAGCUCUCUCGCCGCCGUCAUGGCGCAGAUGCUGGCGCACAGGGCCACACACCUCUGGGUCGUCCAAGGUGGCGACACGGAGGAAGCCAUCUUGGUUGGCAUGGUUGGCUACAUGGACAUCUUCAACGCAGUCACCAGCGGUGUACUUGUUCUUCCGGCUUGA
rnacentral:rRNA from 1 species